GCUCAGAACGUACGCUGGCGGCACGCCUAACACAUGCAAGUCGAACGAAGUAGCAAUACUUAGUGGCAGACGGGUGAGUAACAUGUAGGUAUCUGCCCUUUGGCCUGGAAUAACACGAGGAAACUUGUGCUAAUACCGGAUAAGUCUUUACGGAGAAAGCUUUAUGCACCAUUGGAUGAGCCUGCACUUGAUUAGUUUGUUGGUAGGGUAAUGGCCUACCAAGACUGUGAUCAAUAGCUGAUUUGAGAGGAUGAUCAGCCACAUUGGGACUGAGACACGGCCCAAACUCCUACGGGAGGCAGCAGUGGGGAAUCUUGCACAAUGGAGGAAACUCUGAUGCAGCGAUGCCGCGUGAGUGAAGAAGGCCUUUGGGUUGUAAAGCUCUUUCGUCGGGGAAGAAAAUGACUGUACCCGAAUAAGAAGGUCCGGCUAACUUCGUGCCAGCAGCCGCGGUAAUACGAAGGGACCUAGCGUAGUUCGGAAUUACUGGGCUUAAAGAGUUCGUAGGUGGUUGAAAAAGUUGGUGGUGAAAUCCCAGAGCUUAACUCUGGAACUGCCAUCAAAACUUUUCAGCUAGAGUAUGAUAGAGGAAAGCAGAAUUUCUAGUGUAGAGGUGAAAUUCGUAGAUAUUAGAAAGAAUACCAAUUGCGAAGGCAGCUUUCUGGAUCAUUACUGACACUGAGGAACGAAAGCAUGGGUAGCGAAGAGGAUUAGAUACCCUCGUAGUCCAUGCCGUAAACGAUGUGUGUUAGACGUUGGAAAUUUAUUUUCAGUGUCGCAGCGAAAGCGAUAAACACACCGCCUGGGGAGUACGACCGCAAGGUUAAAACUCAAAUG
rnacentral:rRNA from 1 species